UCCCCCCAUCUCUCCCCUCCCCCGAUCGCAGGCCGAUCGGCGGCGGCGGCGAUGGCGCCCGUGCGCCCCCGGAUCGAUAUCGACUGGGAGGAGGUUUUCAGCAGGGACUCCUCCCACGACCGCGAGGACAGCGUCUGCUUCGCGUCCCCCUCGUCGGCGCCGCAAAACUCCAGGGCGGCGGCGGCGAAGGCCCCCCGGGCGUCGUCGGACGACGAGAAGCGGCGCGGGACCUCCUACCCCACCCGGAGGUUUGGGGGCCUGCGCGGCGAGCUCGAGCAGCGGCGCGGCGAGCGUGGCCCCGCCGCGGUUGCGGACGACGGGGCGAGCCGCCGGGUGACGCGCGCGGCCGCGAAGGCUGCUGCUCGGGAUGCGCGCUCCGAUGCUGCCAAUGUAUUCAACUUCAGUCAGGAGGAUGAGGAGGGGGAAGAUGCGGGCCGCAAAUACUCUCCCUGUUCUAGUGGAAAAAAGAAUUAUGGCGUGCUACGUAUUAUUAAACGCAAAUGCCAAGGGCAUGUUGGACCAAGGACUAUACCAGUGGAUAAGAUGUACUCAAGCCAACCAUUUUCAAAAUCUGGGAACCAGCGGAGGGCUCAUUCCAUUGAUCCAGAGGAGUCGGAUCAUGGAAAAUGUCAGCAGAGUGAAAGUUUCAGUUUCAGUAGAUUUUCCAAGAGGAGGAAGGAACAGCUUCAGGAUUCAUCCUCCGUUUAUUCUCGAAAGGUUCAAGAUGUGGUUCUAUUGGAUGAUGAAGAUAUGCAAACUGAGGGAGAAGUUAACUAUGAGAUUUCUGACAUACGGAAUGAACCAAAGAUCUACUACCCAUCAAGAGAUGAUCCAGAAGCCGUGGAGCUCACCAGCUCAGAUAUUAGCUGUCUUGACCCUGGAGCAUUUUUGUCGUCACCGGUGAUAAACUACUACAUCCAGAACAUCAAAAGGACCAGAUUGAACCGUGAAGAUUGCAGAGACAAAUUCUACAUAUUUAACACGUAUUUUUAUGGAAAGCUUGAAGAAGCAUUGUAUCAGCUGGGUGACUUGUCAAAGUUGAGAAGAUGGUGGAAAGGUGUCAAUAUAUUUCAUAGAGCAUACGUCAUCUUGCCAAUCCAUGGGGUGGCACACUGGAGCUUGGUAAUCAUUUGCAUGCCUGCAAAAGAGAGUGUUUCAGGACCAAUCAUACUUCAUCUGGACUCCCUUGGGAUGCACCGCAGUACUAAGAUCUUGAACACAGUUGGGAGAUACCUUGAAGAAGAAUGGCAGCACUUAAAGAAGAAUCCUUCUCCUGAGACAUCAGUUUCGGAGAUAAUAUGGGAGGAUCUUCCAAGUAAUAUACACAAGGAAAAAGUUCAGGUUCCACAACAGAAUAAUGCGUACGACUGUGGCAUCUUCAUGCUUUAUUACAUUGAACAGUUUAUAAGAGAGGCACCAGAAAGGUUCACGGUAGAUAACCUUGACAUGUUUAAUUGCAGUUGGUUCAAACCUGAAGAUGCUUCUGGGCUAAGGCUGAGAAUAAGAGAGCUACUGCAGGAAGCAUUUGAAAGUGCCAGGCUGGAUGAUGCUAUGUCAGAAGAAGCUGCAUCUGAUGGCUCUUAUAUUGGUGACGGCAUAAAGGGUGGAGAAUUGGAAGCAGAUGCACCUUCUGAGAGUUCAGAAAUGGUCUUAGAGUUCGGAAACACUGGCAAGAGCAAUGAAGGCAUCAAGGUUGCAGCCUCAGGCAACUCUGGUAAGAGUAAUGAAGGCAUCAAGGUAGCAGAAUCAGAAGAAGCAAGUGGAGAGUCUGGAGAUGCUGAGAAAAGUAUUGAAGGAUAUGUUGCAGAAUCAGAGGAAGAAAGUGGGGAGUCUGGAGAGGCUGGUAAGAGCGUUGAAGGCAUUAAUGUUGCAGGACCAGAAGAAGCAAGUGGAGAGUCUGGAGAUUCUGGUAAGAGUAUUGAAGUUAUCAAUGUUGCAGAAUCAGAUAAUGCAAGCGAGGAGUUUGGAUAUGCUGGUGAGACUAAGAAAGGCAUCAAGGUUGCAGCAUCUGAAGGAGCAAGUGUGGAGUGUGUAUCCACUGAUAAGAGUAUGGUGUCUGUAUCAGGCAAAGCACCGGCAAGCAGCAGCAAAUGUGUUGAAAACACUGCAGGCUGUGCUCUAUCAGAAGCAGCUUCAGAUUCUGAUAGCAUGGAAGACGAGGAAGGUACCAUGAAAGCAGAUUCGGGCAGCUCAAAAACUGAGAAAGAAGGAUUGAUUGCAAUUGUAUCGCCAAAAAGGCCGAGGAACGAGGGGGGCAUUUCUAGGACACCCAUUCCAGAUGUAGUUUGUGACAGCUACGACAGCGACACCGAAACCACGGUGGAGAUCGUAAAAGUUUACAACUCCUACAGACAAAAUUACCGUCCCAUUAACUUGGGAUAGCUGACAUGAGGGGCCAAGCGCGGUACUUCUGUUGCUUUCCCACGAAGGUGGGAAACAAUGCCAGAUGUCGGCAACGCUACUUGAGGUGGCUGGUACCAUAUGCCUCGAUAGCCAGACGUUACCUGUUGCUGUGUGCCCACCCGAUAUCCGAGAGCUGUCUCGUGCGAAGCUGCUGUGACAGUGCAAUGGCACUGGUGGAUGCCGUGACCAGAUGCUGAUUGGAAGGCUCAUGAAGUGGUAUGGUUGGCAGAUUAGCAUCAUUGCUUGGUAAACCCACCAUCUCGAUGGAUUGGUGUCUGGCUCUCUUCAACUCGACUUUACUCGAGUCUUUGCCUGAUGUUACAUGUACAGUCGGAACGAUUUCUCAACCAACAUGGCAUCGGAGGCGUCGACAAGACUUGACCGCCGCGGCAGCAAUUAGCUAGUGGGCGAUGCAGAGGAGAUGGACGGAAGCGAUCCAGUGCUGCAAGCGACGCCACAGGGGAUGUGGUUCAACGUCGCCGAAUUUGUGGUAGAGCAAACCACAAAAGUGUUCCAUGCACUCUUGUUCUCCCCCACCCCAAAUUCUAAUGGUACUAAUGCUCGUCCACUGACAAAGACUUCCCGUUUCACUUUACUUUCUCAAAACGAGCAGAUUUUUUUCUUUAUCGAAUACGCAAGAGAAUUGCGC